rnacentral:rRNA from 1 species
GAUGAGGCUCUGGGUCACCUCCCACCCGUGUUUAUUUUACCUUGUUGCUUCGGCGGGCCCGCCUUAACUGGCCGCCGGGGGGCUCACGCCCCCGGGCCCGCGCCCGCCGAAGACACCCUCGAACUCUGUCUGAAGAUUGAAGUCUGAGUGAAAAUAUAAAUUAUUUAAAACUUUCAACAACGGAUCUCUUGGUUCCGGCAUCGAUGAAGAACGCAGCGAAAUGCGAUACGUAAUGUGAAUUGCAAAUUCAGUGAAUCAUCGAGUCUUUGAACGCACAUUGCGCCCCCUGGUAUUCCGGGGGGCAUGCCUGUCCGAGCGUCAUUGCUGCCCUCAAGCCCGGCUUGUGUGUUGGGCCCCGUCCUCCGAUUUCCGGGGGACGGGCCCGAAAGGCAGCGGCGGCACCGCGUCCGGUCCUCGAGCGUAUGGGGCUUUGUCACCCGCUCUGUAGGCCCGGCCGGCGCUUGCCGAUCAACCCAAAUUUUUAUCCAGGUUGACCUCGGAUCAGGUAGGGAUACCCGCUGAACUUAAGCAUAUCAAUAAGCGGAGGGAAAAGAAAAUCUGU